GCGAUAACUACUGGUACAUAGGAUUAACGAAUGUGCUCGAAAACAGGGUCUGGAGUUGGUUUGAUGAUCUCAGGGAAGCAGCAUUCCUUGACUGGGCCCCAAACGAACCAAAUGGUGCCACCGAAUCAUGUGGCUGUCUCAAGUUCUUUACAGGAUAUCACUGGAAUGACAUAAACUGUGCAAGUCAUCUAUAUUUCAUCUGUGAAUUGAAUCUAUGAAUGUGCGCCAUAAAUUUGCCAAGACACCUCGGACCAUCCAUCAAAUAAAUAAAUAACAAUUUCUUAUCCGAAAUGGUGCGUUUUGGGCGUACUUUAUUACUUUUUGCUCUUAUAUUGAAAUAAAAUAUAAACUUGGACAUUA